rnacentral:rRNA from 1 species
UACGGGGGGGCAAGCGUUGUUCGGAAUUACUGGGCGUAAAGGGCUCGUAGGCGGCCAACUAAGUCGGACGUGAAAUCCCUCGGCUUAACCGGGGAACUGCGUCCGAUACUGGAUGGCUUGAGUUCGGGAGAGGGAUGCGGAAUUCCAGGGUGUAGCGGUGAAAUGCGUAGAUAUCAGGAGGAACACCGGUGGCGAAGGCGGGUCUCUGGGCCGGUACUGACGCUGAGGUGCGAAAGCGUGGGGAGCAAACAGG